rnacentral:rRNA from 1 species
UUAAAGGGAAACGAUUGAAGUCAGUCGUACCUAUGGGUAAUCAGCCUUUUGGGUGUGAUUUUGUGGAGCGUGGAGAGUUAAACGCCUUCAUGCCUGCAUAUUCGUGCACUUUGGGUGUACUUGCCCGUGUGUAAGUUAACAUCAAUUUUGGUGGUCAUAAAAUGGCUGGAGGAAUGUAGCUUCGAUCUUGUAUUGAAGUGUUAUAGCCUUCGGUAGAUGUGACGAUCGGGAUUGAGGAUUGCAACGGAUACCCUUCGGGGCUACCUAUCUGAUCUCUGAUCGUUGCUCUGGUGCCGAAAGCUUGCUUACGGUUAUCAAAGUCGAUGGUCAAUAGGUUAGAAUGGGUUAAAUUCGUUAAGGAUGUUGACGUA